AACGGUCUAUACCUGCGGUACCUGCGGAGGGAUCAUUAACGCGCCGUGGAGGUGGCCUUUAAACAGGUCUGACCUUCCACCUGGCCACCCUUGUUUAUCUUUAACCUGUUGCUUUGGUGGGCCCGCUGCAAGGCCGCUGGAGAAUUUAAAAGUUUUCUGGCCCGUGCCCACCAAAGUCCUAAUGAACUCUUUGUUAAUUUUCUGCUGUCUGAGCAUUAAAAGAAACAAUUUUUAAAACUU
rnacentral:misc_RNA from 1 species